CUGAUUCUUCCUGCUAAAGCGUUUAGGUGCUUCCUCACCUAAAUGCUUUCUAGACUCAGAUGGUGGACAAGCUAUCCUGUUCUGAGAAAGCUAAUGAAGGGCAGGCUAAAGGAACUGUCUUUACAUCAUUUUUUCUUUCUUCUCAAAUGUAUAUGCACAAAGGUUGAUGCUUUUCCUUUGUUGUUGUUGUUGUUGUUGUUGUUGUUGUUGUUCACAGCUCAUCGAAUGCCACUUCAGGUAAACUCAUAUAAAAUGCUCUCAUUUUAAAAAAAUAUUCUGCAGUUUUUUCAUUCUCUCUCUUUAAAAACAUGCCAAGUUGCCUCAGUAAAGAAUGCUGUUUUGUGUAUCAUGCCUGAUUGAAAAAAUUCUGCUCAACGAUGAUUGCAUGAAGAAUGGACAGUCCACCCUCUCAUCCAGAUGGCCCGAAUGGUGCCCUUGGUGUCCAUCAGACUGUCAGACUGCUGUUUACUGGGGCAGCUCCCAGGGUCUCUGCUCUUCUUUUGAGUCUGCACCACCGACAUCCUUUUCAGCUUCGAUUGGAGCUCCUGAUGCGUGCGAGCAAAGGUACGUUGACUGCUACAUCUCAUUAGCUGUGUGUUUUUUUCCCACCCCAACACUAGGACAUUUCUGCUUCAAUGACUUCUCAUCCUGAAUCUUAGCGUUGUUGCUCAUCUCUGAGAGCCAAAAGCAACUUUUACUGGGGACUCAGGACCAGGUGGUGGCUGAGGGAGCAAGCAGGGUGAAGGACAAGGAUCUUUCUGGAAACCAAAUCUGCAGGUGUCCGGGAUGAACUACCAAUGAAGGGGGAGGGAGUUCAACAUGUUUCCUAUCUCGUGAACUGUCUGCCCUUUUGUAGGAUAAAAGCUGCUGUGGAAGGAUGCCUGUUUGCAAGGAGGAAAGAGCGAGCUUCCUGCUUCCCAGGUCCCUGGCAUGCUCCCCCUGGUGGAAAGGCACUCCCUCCAAACUCUUGGAGAGGACUCAGGCUAAAAGUGGCAAGCUACUUCCAAGUUCCAGGUGACCCAUAGGCUGUGAUGUUGCCAUUAUGAAGAAAUUGCUGUGCUCAUCAACUUACUUUGAACCAAGCUGUUCUUUACCGAAUGCCCUGAAGUCAUUGGAAAGUCACACUACCUUGCUUUAAAGUGAAGAAUUAGAAUUGUUUCUCUGAAGAUGAGGGAGGUGCAUGAAGGAUGUCAGGUACAACAGUGCCGUGUGUAUGCUAUUGAGAACUGGACGGGAGUGAAAGAGAGUGAUGAAGACAACAGUCUAUACAGCAUCUCCUAUUACCUGUUAGCUCAGUGCUUCAUGUGCAUUACCUCACUGAAUUCUCGCAACAGCCCAAAAAGGUCAUAAUCAUCUGGAGAGACACAUUGGCAGAGAGACUACCUUAAUACAAUGGGGAAAAAUGACUAUGGGACUUUCUUUCCCCAGCUGUUUUGAGGCUUUAAAAUUUAUCUUAGAACCUCUUGGAACUAUCCCAUCAGAAUAACUGGAAGCCAGAUAAAACAUUAGGCAGUUCAUUCAUUUUAUUGGACGUGGAGUUUUGUCAGAACCAGCAUUUACUGUACUUCUCAUAGCUGUAAGCAAAGCAUUAGAAUUCAGCAACCUAAUGCUUUUCUUUUCUCUGCCAAGCGGGGUCGUGAAAUGGGAGAGAAAGCCUCCUUGCCUCUGUUCUUUGCAAACAGCAUGUAUUUAUUUGGGGUCAGUAGAGCAAAACAUCUGAUCGCUGCUCUAAGUGUUUGCAAACUUUUGGGCACUGGAGGGGACAUGCAUAUGAGAUGGAACAGGGCAUAGAUAAAAGAAUUCCCGCAUUACCCACCAUCCUGCCCAAAGAAACCACACGACUUCCAUGGCAGUCCCAGACUACAGAAAGGGAGAACACAGCAAGCGCCUGCAUUCUCUUCAUUUAGGCCCCAAGUCAUCCAAAAAUUGCCUACCACGGCAGUAGACGAGUUCACAUUUUAAUCAAAACAGGACUGCACAGAAACAUACGUCCACGUGAAAACCAGUACCCAGUGUUUAUGGUGGCUUUCUUUUUAAUUGCUAAAAACUGGUAACAACCUAAAUGUCCAUCGUCAGAGGAAGCGAUGAACAAACUGCGGUGCAUUCACACAACAGCGGUGCUACACAGCAGCGAAGAGGAGCAGCCGACUGACACGCACAACAACUCGGAUCUCAGGAGCAUCGCACCGAGCUGGAGAAGCCAGACACGAGCCGCUGCACACCGUAUGAUUCCAUGGCAUUCUGGGAAAGGCAAAACUCCAAGCACAGAGAACGCAUGAGUUGUUGCCCAGGUUUGGGGUUCCAGGAAGAGGAUGGAUUACUAAGAAGCACAGGGGAAUGUUUUGGGGUGAUGAAAAUGUUGUAUGUCUUGUCUUUUUCUUUUCUUUUUGUGAAACAGAGUUUCACUCUUGUCGUCCAGGCUGGAGAGCAAUGGUGUGAUCUCAGCUCACUGCAACCUGCACCUCCCAGGUUCAAGCAAUUCUCCAGCCUCAGCCUCUUGAAUAACUGAGAUUACAGGCACAUGCCUCCCCGCCCAGCUAAUUUUUGUAUUUUUAGUAGAGACGGGUUUUCACCAUGUUGGUCAGGCUGGUCUUGAACUCCUGACCUCAGGUGAUCCGCCCACCUCAGCCUCCCAAAGUGCUGGGAUUACAGGCAUGAGGCACCACAUUCGGCCAAAGUUCUAUGUCUGGUCACAGCCAUUUACAUUCAUCAGAAUUCACAGAACCAUCCAUCCUGAAGUGGUGAAUUUGCUGAAUAGAAAUUAUACCUCAAAGACCAGACGUUCAAAAAUGCCUUUGUGUUUUGUAAGCUUCAACACUCGCCCAGUGGGAACCACAAAAGCGUUGCCCAAUUUGUUGAAAGCAUUGCUGUUAUAACUUCAGCGUGUGGGGAGAAGUUAUGUUUUCAUACUGUCUUUGUCUGCUCUGGCCACCGUUACAAAACACCAUAGACUGGGUGGACUGAUCAACACGCAUUUCUUUCCCACAGUGGAGGCUGGAAGUCCCCAAGACCCAGGUUCCUGGGGAGGGCUUUCUUCCUAGCCUGCAGGUGACCAACAUCUGCUGUGUCCUCUUGUGACUCUUCCUCAGUUCCUGUGCCAGAGGGGUCGGGGGACAAGUGGGCGUCCAUCUUGUAAGUGUCCUCAUAAGGCCACCAUCCUGUCAAC
rnacentral:lncRNA from 1 species